ensembl:lncRNA
GUCUGAUUUUUAAUGAAAGGUUUGCCUGACUAUGAACAUUAGAACACCCUACCAGUGAUGACCAUGGGUAUUAUCGCAUACUCAGAAAAGAGAAUUACUUUUGACACUUUGAACCAGAUCUUGUCGGCAACCCUGCAAGAGGGAGGCUCAAGCGCCAUGUGCAAAACGUGGAAAUAGCUCUAGUAGUUGAAGCUUGUGUGCUGUGAUCAAGCCCCAAGACUCAACCCUGCUUUCGCUCUUGUUCUGACAACCUCAGCUCUUCGGUUUUUAUCAGGUAAUUGGAAGGACCAUCGUGUAGGUAGAAGCAGAAGCAGUUCCACCAUAGGAGUGACCCUUGAUUCUAGCUUUUCCUCUAAAUUGCUGUUGCUUUUGCCUUAGGUACAAUGCCUAAUAUAGCACUGAGCACGGUCAUGGCAUAUCAAAAUAAUACUAUUGGGCAGGCACAGCAAACACUUUACAUGGGCUAUCUCAUAUUUCUGAAUGACAGACAUACAAGGUGAACAUCAUGCUGCCCCCAUUUUCCAGACCAAAAAGCUAAGGCUCAGGGAGGAUAAGGAUACAUGGACUGAGAUCAUAUAAUUAGCAAUUAGCAUAAGUGGGGUUCAAAUACAAGUAGUCUGACUUCAGUCACUUGGUUUACUCACUAAAUCGUCUUGUCUAUAGUAAUAAGUUACUGUCAUCACCAUCAGUUCUCUUCACUCUGCUGCCCACUGCAAAUAAUGGCUACAGUUGGAGGCAGACAAAUAUAUGCUGAAUGCACACUUGAACUACGCUUUUUGUUUUUUAUUUUUAAAAAUUUCCCUUUCUUUCACACUUGAGACUUCAGGUAUAUAAAAACCUGAAAAAGCUUUUUUUUUUAAAAAAAAAUUUUUUUUUUUUUUUUUUUUUUUUUUUUUUAGAUGGAGUCUCACUCUGUUGCCUGGUUGGAGCGCAGUGUCGCGAUCUCGGCUCAUUGCAACCUCUGCCUCUUGAGUGCAAGCGAUUCUCCUGCUUCAGACUCCCGAGCAGCUGGAACUACAGGCUCUGAGCUGCAUGCCAGGGGGUUCCGGAAGACGAAGUUAUAGAUUUGAUCUCAUAGAACUCAAUUUCUCUUAGAGGAAGCUGGCUGGAUGAGAACUAAUUAUAAUUUAAAUUAAAUUAAAUUACAUUAAAUACAAUUUAAUAAGUAUUAUAAUAAUGGCAUAAGCCAAGAUUUCAAAGAGCAGUGAAAAGAACAGUUCAUUAUUGCUGUCCAGCAGGACUGCAAGAGUUAUCACAGAGAAGGUGACACCUGACCUGGGUGUUGAAGAAUGGACAAGAUUUUCCCUUGUUAGAAGAUAUGUCAACAGGGAAUUGCAGCCUUCAGAGAGACCACAGUUUCCUUGCUAUUCAAAAAGAGCCUCUCGAAUCUGUGUUCAGUGAUUCAAGAACAUGAGGACAUAUGUUAAUUCUGACACAGGAAACUCAAUAAAUUCUAAUAUUGAAUAAAAACUUGGAUUUACAUCUGGGUAUGCUGCUGAUAUGGAGAAGGAAAGGACAAACAGUGUAUGCUGAUUGCUACUAUUUGCCAGUUGCUUAAUAUAACUGAUCUCAGUUAGUCCAAACAGUCAAUUUAAGUAGAUAUUAGUACCUACUCAUUUCUAAAGAUAAGAAAAAUGUUCAAGGUCGCUCAGAAGUAGCAACCAGUAUUUAGACUUGAAUCUUUCUGACUACAACAAGCAAUGCAAUUUUCAUGGUACACAGUUUUCUCUGUCUUGAGUAUACAUUGUAUAUAUCUUCAUGUGUUAUAAUACAUGUAUUAUAAACAUAUAUAUGUAUAAAUACACAUGUAAAUACACAUGUAUAUCUUGUUUGUGUCAUUUACCAUGGUACACAUUUAUGUUUUGGAAUAUUUUUGUUCACUAACAUAAGUGAUUUGAAAAUCAAAUUUAUUAUGCUUUUCAAGAUAAAUACAUGAUUGGAGAAUGACUUUGGAAGCUUGUAU